GUGCAUCGACUGCUUCCUUUCAGGUGGAAACCUCUACCUCUUUGAGUACGGCGUGUCCCCUGUUUUCUAUCUUGCUAAAGCUCGAGGAGGGACUUGCACCCUUGCGAAAUCUGACCCCCCUGAAGAUGUGCUUCACCGUGCCUCUUACCUCCUCCAGAAUGGCUUUGGUGGCUACAAUCUUUUCAAGAACAACUGUGAGGACUUUGCUGUCUACUGUAAGACGGGUCUGCUUGUGGUGACGGCAAUUAGCGUAGGCCGAAGUGGGCAAGCAGCGGCUUUUCUGGCUGCUACAAGUGCUGUCAUGUCCUCUCCACUUAGAUUCUUGACGACAAGUGUUAGUGGUCUGGCAGCUGUGAGUUAUGGCAUGUAUUGCAUCAGUCGUUUGGUCUCUGACCUUGGGGUUCGCCGUGAUGUGGUUAGAGUACCUGUCGAAAGACUUGUUAAUCAAUCUGAUUUGUGUGAUCCCCAAGCUGCUGUGGAUAGUCCCACUCCCGGUUGUGUUGUCGCUGCCAAAAAUGACUAAAGACUGCAUGCUGCAAUUUGCCGGCAGUCUCCACCAGAACUUUGCCGGCAGUGGAGAUGAAAACACUGUAAAAUGUAUGUUUUAGCUCUUUGUUGGAUGUUACUUCUGCAAACUAUACCCGGUCGAAAAUUUAAAUACUCCUCAAACUUCAGCUUUGUUGGAUUUGGCAUCAGAGGUCCUUGAAAUUUUGGGUGUCGUCUUGUUUCUUGUUGUGCAAACGAACUGAUCAGAUUUGCUUUCGACAGGAUAUUUCCUGUUGAUCGCCACAAUCUCUGUAUAGAACUACAGUUGCAAGAGAGAGUGGUUCUACUGUUCUCUCCAAUUUUGAUAUUUCUGCAUCUGAAUUAUUUAAGCUAUACUCCCGAUGGGUUAGACUAGCUUUGGCGUGGGUUUUGUCCUAAAAUUGCGUAUAUAUGGUAUUCCAAUUAAAUGACAAAUUAUAUUUAACCAUAAAACGAAAGAGUUUCAGACAGGAAUAAUAAUUUGAAAUCAGUGUAGUAACACUUGAGGGCUGGCCAUGGUCACGGACGGCAGAGACAGAGAGCUGGCUACGCUUGAGCGAGAAUGAAGGUCGCACGACCCUCGUGUGGCUUGCGCAAGGGUCGACGUGAGCAUCACUAAGGCACAAUGAGGGUCGUUUGACCCUUGCCAUGGUUGACUGAGGGCCUCCAACCAACCCUCACAAGCUGAGGCAAGGGCUGUGCAGAUCCUCCCUUAUAAUAAACACCAUUUCAUUGAUAAAAGCCCAUCACUUUAUAAGUAGAGUCUCACCUUGUGCAUACUAAUACAUGAAGACAUGGCAGUUUGUUUGCUCGGGAGAAGUGAUAGACCUGAAUUUCAGAUAUACUUUGUUCUUGAAAAGGAGGAGAAUCGUGUCAAUAUUAAGUUAAAAAAGAGACUGAGCAGACAUUUUCAAAAAGAGGAAUGUUGAUAAUUUGUGGAACGUUAAAGAUAACAAAACCUAGUUUUUUAAAACCUCGGGGUAGACCAGACAAUAACUGAAACUGUAACUCGAUCAUUGUCCCUAGAAGAGCAUAAAGCAACUUGAGGAAUACCGAUGGGGUAUAACUACACUUCCAUGUAGACUAGAGCAGUACAAAGAAUCUUUCGGAUAUUGUACAGGACCUUCAUAUAAUUAAGUCAAUCAUGUUUACAAUGAAUUGUGUACAGAUGAGGCCAAAUUAAUGGUGAAAAAAUGCAAUGUCUAAAUUGAUUUUAGUUUAUUGGAAAAUUUCAUCUUUUGCAGAAACGUUCACGAAACGAACUUUGCAUCUUCUGCUGAAAGAUGGAAAGCAUUAGCAGCUCUGGGAUGCAUCAACCUGGCUCCAAAGCUGAUUAGCAAAUUCGUUCUCCUCUUCUGUAGCGAUUUGGUCAUUAACCUCAAUUAAUUCCUCUUCAUCGAGGUUCUCUUCCAUGAUUUCGUCAAUAGAUGAUACUUCUGAAAGUUCUGUCCCCAACCCACUUAUUUCAACCCCCGCCUCCCUCAUAGCUUUUGCUGUUGCCGGCCUGUCACAAGACCUAUAUUUAGGAGCAGGCAUGACAAACGGCAAAACUAUAUUGUCUAAGUCUAUGUGGCUGCCCUUCGUUCUAGCCCGUGUCUCCGUCGGAGGAACAACAAACAGUAUCCCAAGUUCAUAGUUGCAAAUGUGAAGCUUCUUCAAAUCGAAGUUGCUUCGACCAGGUGUGUUAAACUUUCCAUCAGAUUGAUUGGAAAUCAACCUCCCCCAAGCAGCUGCACUGAAAUUAUGUGAUCCACAAUAAACCCAACCAAAAGAACAUGCACUUGCCCUGGACUUAAAGCGCCUCAUUGCCACCUGAAAGAAAAAAAUUCCUUGAAGAUGUGCCAAUGUCCCCAAGCACGGAUACAACAUCCACACUCUGAAAAAAUGGCAAAAUUCUCUCUCAACCAAAAUAAACCAGUGACAUGCCAUGCCGAUUCAGUUAUUCAUAUCAAAAGUAAAACGCAGUAAGGAUAAAGCUAUACAAGAUGGUCUGGCCAAAAAACUCAGGAUUGAAAAAGAAUAUCAUCAAACUGAAAAUCAAUGUCUACAGCAAUUUUUUAAAUUUCUUUAUAGCUCAAGAAAUCGAAUUUUUAGUGCAGAGUGGCUGUAUACCUUUGUCUCAGGAACACCAAUUUCUGUGUCCAAUUUAGUGCCUUUACUGCACUUCUGUCAUAAGUAUUUAUAAGACUUAAUGCUCAUUGCAAAUUAAAACAAUUUUUCUCAGGAAUAUAUUUGGGGUUUAUUGACCUCCAAAAAGUCAUGCAAAGGCCAUCCACACCAACUUGAUGGGUUAAUCUAUGCUUCUAUUGAUGUCAAAGUGACACCAAUUAUAUGCACAUUCAUAUCAACAAACAAAGAAGUUCAAUUGCAUACUUCAAAACUAGGAGACGCAUGCUUACAUCACCAACAUAAAAUGGAAAAAACUUAAGAUGGAUUGCUCAAUUCUGCCGAAUCCAUGGACCAUUCUGCUAAUAUGGCCGAAGAUGAUGAUUCACUCGCAAAUUCAGUGGGGUGAAAGAAGAAAAACCCCCUGGAAGACAAGAACUAUUCUGAAGUAGUUAUUUCAGCUAAAUUGAACUUUUCCGUAUCAAAUCUAGCAUGUGAAUAAGGAGUAGUUAAUUUCAUUUCCUGUACGUACAUUCUCUUCUGCUAAAAUUGGACAUCCAGGCCCAAUCGGUCCUCUUGGUCAUGGGUAGUCCUCCAAUCCCACCAUAAUCGGAUCAUAACCAAGGCAAAAGACACUUGAUCCAGAUCAAAUAUGUCUCCAUGGAAGAAUAAACACCUCCAUCAGGCACAUAUGUGGCAAACCGGUGGAUCGGGUUGGUUUAUAUUUCAAUUGUUUAAGAUUGGUUUAUGUUGGGUUGUUCCAGAUUCAACUACUUUUGGGUCCAGUCAUUUCAGGUUCUGUCAUCUCGAAGUCUGACGUGGGUUCCUGUGAAUCAAUUCUUGACCUUCUCAGGUUCCACUUUCUAAAAGUGAAUUGGGUCUGGUUUAUGUAAUGCAUUCAUCAUAUGUUUACUUAAGUUCCAAAUCACUGGCAUUUGGUUUUUCUAUGAUUUUGGGUUCAUCAGAGUUAGAAUUAAAUAUCAUGACAAGUCGGUCUACAUCAAGUUCAGGUUGUCUCAGGUUUGGUAUACUUCAAGUUUAGGCUACUUUGGAUUUGGUUCAUUUUGAAUUCAGCAUGGAUGGAUUUUUUUUUUUUUUUUGGUAAGAGUAAGCAAUAUAUUAAUAGGGGUCAAACUGAACAAACAACAUGGCUCCAAAAACUUACACUCAAAAUGAACACGCUCAUUAAGAGUGGAAGGAAGCCGCGGAAAAGCAACAAAACGACGUAUGAUGGAUUAUCAAUCACUCAACGUAUGAAUUCUCUUGAAUGCAGUUGUUUCCAAUUCAUAUUCAAUCAGGUUUAAGUCAUUGACUUUUUCAGUCAGCUUGGGGUUGGGUUGAGUCAGUUUCAUGAUGGGAAGGCCAGGUUUGUUGAGUUCCAGUUCCCACCUCUACUGGUGGGAGCACGCACACACAAUAAAAAAGGAUGCCAUCCAUUUGAUGCAUUGAUGUUAUUCAAAUCGGUUUCUAAAAUACAGGGAAUAAAAUCGAACCACAAGAAGGAAAGAGCACUUUAAAGAGAAAAGUGUAUUUGUCAUAGUGUACAUUCUAUAAAAAAAAAUAGUAUAACUUGGUCAUGCUAAAGGCUUCACUAUUAAGUGAAUAAAACCAUGUUUGUGCAUUCUAUGUUUUCACGUGCUUUUGUCCAUCAAGGUUUCACUGAAUUAUAAGUUCACAUAACGUGUCCUCAAUAGGAUAUAACUUCACAAUAGUCAAAACAGAUGAGCACUAGAUCACUUACUCUCAGAUUUUUCAGGUUUUAUGAGGGACUAAUAGAUGACAUUUUGAAACACAUUUUAUCUCCAUGAGUUGCACAAUAACAUGAUGAUGAAAUUCUCUCUCUCCACAUAGUCGUGAGCACGAGGGGACAAGUAUCCUAACAGCUUAAUUUUUUGUAAAAGAACAUUUGUCUAAAAAUUUCAAUUUUCUUUUUAGGAUUUGCUAGUGUGUCAUGUGUAAUGAAUGUAUGCUAUGGUCAUCCACCUUAGCCCAAGCACAAUGCUCUCAGAGCAGAAUCCCACUUUAUUAAAAAAAAUUCUGCUAACGAGUGGCCCAAGUGAAAUUAUUAAGCACUAAAUAAUAAAAUUUUAUAAAUUUCAUUUUAACUGCACUAAAUAAAUAUUUCAUGGGCACUUGUUAACAAUACCAUAAUUGAAAUACUCCAAAAACAAGCUAAAUGUGCUAGUAGCUAUUUAUGGUUGAGGACCUCAUUUUGUUUGCUAAGUCAAGAUUUUGAGUUCAUGGGUUUUGCAACCUUGACCAAUAUUCCAACACCCAAAAACUCUGCUGAAUGCAAUGCUAUUAAAUUGAUUACAGUGAAUCUGUAUGAUGUUUGAGAUGUCAAAUUUCACUCUUGAAUAAUAGAUCAUUAAAAUGUAUUCCCAUGCACUAGCAUAACUUUACCAUACCUAAAAUUAAGAGAAAAAACAUAAUAACGUUCUGUUUUAAUUAGCAGAUGAUACAAUCCUAUACACAUUCUGCAAAAGGGUAUGAUUAAUUCAUGAGUGCAUGCUAAUUGAUGGCAUCAGAACAACACAGUUUAUUUUCACUGGAGAAGAAGAUAAGGAAUGGACCUUUGCAUGAAUUGGGUGGCCAAUCCUAUAGGAAGGAUAAGGAAUUGCAUCAUAGAGUAUGUCUGCAGUCUUCAACUUUUGCCAUGUUUUCUGUAUGGGAAGCAAUGAAUUAUUGCACAAGGUACUCAAUAAAACCAAAGAGCCUAUCAGUGAUAAGCCCCAUUAGUUAGCACUUAACAACAGCAAAAGCACCAGAAACACAAAAAGCACAAUCCUUCCUGUACACAGACAGAUAUCCGAUCGGCCAUCUGAAUGUACGGGAAUUGGACUUCACUGGCAUGAUAAGCUCAUGCUUGGACAGCAAAUGGUUCAGCACUCUCUAUAAUUGCAAAUUUCAGUCCAGAAAAGUAAUGCUUAUACGUGCAAGAAUUAUGUCUAUUGUCUUGCCUAUAUUAUAGAACCCCUGUUUAGAUCCAAGGAAAACUAGACAGGAUAAUAGCAAAGCCAAUGAAUUUGGGAAGACCAAUAUCGCAUGCUAGAAAGAGCACAGAACAGCAGAGAAUGAUUCAAAAAAACUUAUGAGCACUCAAGAAUAUAGAGCAGUGAGUAAUGCAAUAAUAAGAACAUGGUGUGACCCACUCAGAUGAGAUGAGAUGAAAUAAAGUAAAAAAAAAAAAAAAUUGUUUAGAAACAUGAAACAAUAAGCUCAAAUGCUACUUCAAAGGUUUAGCUGUAUGAUCCUGUGUAGAUCAAAGGAGAACAAAGGGUAAGAAGACAAGAACAGAUAUAUGAUGAAAGAUUCAAUGUUUCGACCUUCCUGUAGAUGGUAUCGAAAGUGGUCCACAAAAUAACGAGAUGCAUGGAGCCAGACCCACUACAUGGAAAGAGGCUUUGCUGUUGAGGAUGAUUUUUUCAUUUAGCACACGAGAUAGCAUCAAUUACGAUCCUUGGGCUCUGGUAUUUCUUUUCUCCAACUUCUACCUUGACAUUGCUCAUAUAGUAAUAAUCUUGUCGAUCCACAAUUUUUUUAAAGUUUCACAUAAUCCAUUCAUUAUCUCAGAAAUCAGGUACAGUGAACUUAGUAAGCUCUUUCAUCAUAUCAAAUAAAUACUUCACAUAUAUUCCUGGAGUUGAUUCACUAAUUACUUGCAAUCACCAGUGGAAUGAAUGAACUAGCAACAUAAAACCUACCUAAAGGAUAAAUCUCAUUAUCACAAGCUAAUGGAAGCAAUCAAGAAUCAACUGCCACUGGGAAGAAAAAAAAAUUUGUGCUCUUUAGUUAGUUUUUGCCCUAAGAUUUGUAUUAUUGAAUGCUUAGGUUACACUCCCUCUAUUUACGUUUCUCCUUUCUAAACAUAUUUAGGGGUACUAUACAAGACCUUCUGACAAAGGAUGCCAAAGUAUGGGAAAGCUUUUAGCCCACCCAGUGAUCAAAUGGGCAGAAUACCUCUGAGAAGCAAAGAAUCUGCUUUGAAGCUGAAAUUCCAUUAAUAGCUGUCUUCGCCCUCUCAAUAGUGGGAAAAAUAAUUCUAAUGGAUGGAUUCUUCAAUUCUUGACUAGCAGUCCAAAAUCCCCACUGUUUCAAGAGAAUUGAGCACAUCGCAGUUAUGAACAACUAUCAAUUGAACCAUGAGUUUUCACCAAAUAAUAAGGGCAUAACUGCCUACCUCUGGAUCUGACUCCUCAGAAUCAGAUGAUUGCAAAGAUCUCUUUCCAGCAGCAGCCGAAAAAGCAGCCAAGAAUUGCGCAUUGAUUGAUGUACCGAUGGAGGAUGAACCUAAAGAAGAGAAAAUUUAUCGCAGUUGGUAGUAUUAACGAGAACAACCAUUCGAGUAUAUAAUUCCAAAUAAAAGUAACGAAAAAUGAACUCACCAUAAACAAAGUCACUUUCUAGUGAUUCAGGCCACCUGUAUUGACCUAAGACCUUGUAAAAAGCAAAAGAUAAUCAUAAGACAUUUCAGACACAACAUUCACAGACAAAAAUGCUCUCCUGAAGGAGCAGUGUCAUAAUAGCAUAACCUGUUCAAAUGACCACCAUUACUUUUACCUCCUUAACCAAUUCUAACAUGUGUAAUAUUCAUAAAUAUUCCCAUCUUUUACGCCAGCCUCGUUAAACACAAAACUUCCCCAAAAGAACAACAAUCAUAUACCUGGCAAUCCCGUAAUUCGAAGUACACCCUCACUAGAAGCUUCAAGUAACUAUCUCAGAAAUUGCCUUAAAAAAACUACUGCAAUGUACACACAUGGAACACAAAUAUGCCACAUGAUGGUGGUGCAAACAACUCAAACUUAGUAAAACAAAUUGCAAUACGAACAUUUAGGUCUUAAAAGUGUAAUUCAAAAUGAUAGUGACAAUAUACUUCCAGAAUUGGUACCAAAAACUUCACAUUCUCAAGCCUUGGGGGCAAAAUGACAAGGUUCGUAGGACCAUACUUUGUUCAUCAUUACCAAAAGUCUUAUGGCUAAAAUUAAAUGAUGAAAUGCCAACUUUGCAAAAUUGCAUUUGUCACAAAGAAAAUCUCAUAAGAGAAUAAAAGACUAAAGAAUGUAUACCUAGCAAGCCUAAAUGUCUAUGAGAGACUUCAAUUGUCUGAAAUGAAUUUCAAGAUUCACAGAUUUCCGUAUCAAGAUCACAAUAGAACAAUCAUCUAGUUUGUUAAGAAUCCAGAAAUUUAAAGAAGAGACAAAUAACUCAGAUGUGGUUUGAGCAAAAUAUCCUAACGUACCAAUAAACCUCAGUGACAUUUCCUCCACGAGGUAGAAGCAAAAUGUAGAAUCCACUAACAUGAAAAGCUCCAAUUGUCUAUGUCACAACAUUUAAGUAUUAAACAAUUCUUUCAACUAAAGCUGUUCAAACAGCUAACAGUAGUCCCACAAAGGUCACAUGGUAUCCAAGAAGGGGUAUCUAAAUUGAAAACUAUAUAACCCCCUCUUUGCCUCUCGAAAGAUAUAUUUCCAUGCUUUGGUCUUAGGCCAAAUCUCAGCCUAUACGUAAAGGAGUGUUAUGACAAUUAAAAAUCAAAACAUGCGUUCACUUAAUAGCUUGAGCAUUUAGAAGAUUAGCAAUGGUCCAACAAAAUUCGAUCUUGAAUGUGUACAUAGAUGCAUGCUGGUGUGUCUGUGUGUGGGUAGAUGGAUAAGCCUGCAAGUAAAUUCAAUAGCUUCAUCUGAGAGGGCACAAAGGGGUUGCACCACAUUUAUGUAAAGACCGCAAGUGGCAUUUUUACACAAGGCUGAAGAAGCAGGAAACAAUAAAAAAUCAAGCUAGACCACCAAAGCACACGCAUAACACCCCCCCCCCCCCCCCCCCCCCCCCCCCGGCCAAAAAAAAAUGUGCAACACUCAUAUAUACUGAAAUUUUUUUGAUGAAACAACCCAAGAAUGGUAUUUGUUAAAGGACUUAUGUUCCUAUAACUCCAAACUAAGAAUUUAGAUCAAAGUCAUAGGUCACAUAUCAAUUGUGAAUGAUUGCUAUGGAAGUGAGGUGUCACCCAAGUCAUGUAGGCUCGCUGAUAUGAAUUUUUUAUCAGACCGCACAUACACUAAUUAUAGUCACUUAUUGCUCAAAUCUUUAGCUAUAUAGCUCUUUUUUGGUAAACUUUCCUAAGUAUAAUCCGAUCUAAUUACUCUAGUCCAAUAAAGGGGAAAAUUACACCAAGGAUUUAAAACCUCCAAUAUGAAUACCAUCAUCCUGAACAUAAACAUUUAUUCAAAUUCUCUGUAAAAAUUUUCUUCUAUGCACUAAUUAGUUUGUGAUGUAAAAGAUUCUCCAGCAUUAAUUUAAGACGGAGUUUUAGCUUUGAAGCUAAGCUCACCAUUUGGCCAAACUCUAUAAAGAACAAAGCUUUAGACUAUAUUGUUGAGAAAUCACUUGAGGAGAAGUUCGAGUGCAAUCUGAGCAAGAAAGAAAAAAAGACAGGUAAAUUAAAAGUGCCUCUUCUGCUGCUGACCCAUUUUGGCACUUGUGCAAAAAGUUCCUUUGGUAGGACCGGAACCCUUUCUCAUUCCUCAAGUGCCUAUUCAAUCAAACUUCCAUUUCUUUUUUUUUCUUUUUUUAGGGCGGGGGGGUGGAAUAGGUGGAAAGAUCAACUGCAGGGCACUAGGGGGCGCAGACCCAUAGACAAAAAAGAGCUCAUAAAACCAAAAGGGAGAUCCAUCACAUGACAAAGCAUCUACCAUAUCAACCAAAGGAUUUACAUCCGUAUGCAACUUUUCACUACACCAAAAGCACAAAACUUUAAGCCAAUACAACAAAACAAAAAUGAAAGAUUCCUGUCCAUCCGAAGCUCUCUUGUUUCACUCCUUCCAAAUCAACCAAAAACAGAGAGGAGUUGAGACAAACUUCAAUGUCUUGUUGCUGGAUGCCCCCAAGCCCAUAGUUCUUGCUCAAGAGGACCUUUAAUAACCCAAGAUAACCCAGUGCAAGCAUAAGUUGUUGUCCAAUCAUUCUCAUCCAAAACAAUGAAGGAUGAUGAAAGACACACAGUCUUUACCUCCAUUUUGCAGAGAAAACACGUAUUAACCAGUACCUUGCCAUUUGUUGUAGGUUAUCUAAAGUCCAGUCUACCACCAAACCUCCCUAGCUCACUACUUAUAGUAAGACAUAUAAAAAUUUAAGGGCUAAAUUCUUAGUACUAGCUUCAAGAAAGCUCCGUUUCUUUCAAAUUUAGAAUAGAAAGAUCUUUCCAGCUGAAAAGCCUCCUCUAAAAUUUCUAAAGAAACAGGCUCCCAGCUACACUUGUUGAAAUUAGGACUCAAAUAGAGACCUAAGUAGGUGAUCAGGAACGAACCUAACCAACACCCCAUAACUGACAAUAAUCGAGUAUUAUUCACUACUUCACCCAGUAGAAUAAGCUUGUUAUUACUCAGAUUAAUUUUAAGCCCAAAACUGCCUCAAAACAAAAGUAUACUCCUCAAAUAGAGUAACGAAAAGACGGCACCAUCUGCAAAAGGAAAUGUGAUACAGCCAUUGCCAUGUCUCCAUUGGCCACUUUAAAGCCAGUAAACCAUCCCAAGUCUGACCUUUGACCAUUUUGCUAAGACCCUCCAUCAUCAGGAUAGACAAGGGGAAUAAAGGGUCACCUUAUCUAAGGCUGAGAGAAGAUUGAAAGAAACUGGAUGAACAGCCAUUGACUAUAAUAGCAAAUGUAGGGGCUGAGACACACUGUUUCAUCCAAAUUGCACCACCUCUCUCCAAAGCCCAUCAUCUUUAAAACACACAAAAGACAAUCACACAAAGCACAGUCAAAAGCCUUCCUGGUAUCGAGCUUGCAAACAACUUUCUUCUUGACAUUAAAUUGGGAAUCCACUGACUUAUUUGUGAACAUAGCUGCAACUAGAAUUUGUCUUGUAUCAACAAAAGAACUCCAAUAAGGUCCCACCACUUUGCUGAUAAUGCGUUUUAAUCUUGUUGCAAGCACCUUAAUAAGAAUUUUAUACACACUGCGCUCACUGAAUUAAUGGGGAGAAAAUCACACUAUUCCUUCAGGUCUCUCCCGGAAUGUCUAAAGUAGUCAGCGAUGGAUUCUACCCAAGAAGCUAGUUAUAAGGUAAUCAAUAUGUUAAAGGAGCAACUAUGUUCCUUUUUCUCCUCUAUUUGCGAAGCUGACAUGUUUAUCCCAAUUGUAAGUUGAGAACAUGAAAGCACUUGUUAUCAGGUGCACCAAAAGUAAAAUCUGUAAGGUGUUGCAGAUGCCCAAAUAGGGUGUUAAAUAAGCCACUAACCAGAUCAAAGUUUCAAAACUCAAUGCUAACUAUGAAACAUCUAUAUGCCGUGCAUCUCAUGGUGCCAAUAUCUCUAUUUUUUCAAAAAAUCAAACGAAAUACAAAGGGCUAUUUACAUAGAUGAAACUUUUUUUUUUGGUAAAAGGUAAUAGAUAUAAUGAGGAAAGCCAAAAGUACAAAAGAUCACGGCACCAAAAACUUGCACAAUGGGAUGAAACUUUCAGUGGGCUAAUUAUAAUAAAGGUCAUUAAUUUCUAACAAAUUACAAGGAGGUGGACAAUGGGAUGCCUAGGUAAAUUUAAUGUCUGCAUGCUCCAAAAAUAAUUCAGGCUGGAUCACCUUUCUUUACUUCAAGAGGGAUGAUAAGAAGGGGGGUGGAGGUUUUGUUGAAAUUAAACACUGAAGUUUCCAUGAGUAAAUGUGAUAAAGGAAGCGAUUCUCAUCAGACCAUAGAGCACAUAAACAUGCAUGUAUAAUACCUCUAAAAUAAUAAAUAUGCAUGUAACUUCAGAGGUACCAGAACAAGCAGCUUGAAAAUAAAAAUAGGUCUCCAGCAUCUUACCUCACGCAGUCUAUAAAGUCCUCUACACCUUUCAAUAGAAGCAAUGAAAUAGCACAAGGCAUUUACAUGAUGAUGCUGCAUCAACUUUGGCAUGUCGGAAAAAGAAGGCCCCUGGAAAGAUCAAUAAUAGGAUUUUAGAUGAACCACUUAUAAUAUGUACUAGGCAAGAAGUUGAUAGCUACAAAUAUUGAUGAUUAGUUUAUUUCAGGAAGUAGACAGCAACAUGCCUGAAAUACAUGUAGUAUCAAUGAUACUUUCUUGUUAUUUCCUCCAAGAGCAGCAGCAAGCACUUCCUUUGGAUAAACAUAGCCAGAAAAACCGAAAAAACCAUCGUCCCACAAGGGGGAUACCCACUUUGCAAAAUUUCUAGGUAGAAAUCCUACUCGGAUGCAAUCUAUUGAAGAAAUGCCAAAAAAAGGUACUUGAGUAGCUCAAAAGUAACUGUGAAAUCAUAAAAGGAAAAGACAGAAUAUACAGGAGAAAACUUAGAAUUCAUACACUUAGAGCCAUCUUCUGAUUGGAGAAUGCUGAUAUCAGUUCAUCUUAAAAUCUAAAACAGAAAUUUGUCUUAAGCUAGGAAACCAAGCGAGUGACAUAUAGACGGCAAAAGUUUGUAAGUGUUGCCUGGGAAAGCAAGAGAGAUUGAAUUGACGAUCUUUCUGCAGAACUCUAAACAUUUCUACACCAUUGUCAAUUGGUAGUUGGAAAGAAAAAAAUGAAUAAGAGCAAAUACAAUAGUAUUGGCAGUUAGAAAACUAUACAUAAAGACAAAGCAUAUCUACAAAGGCCAAAAUCUUAUUUUUAGUGUUCCAAAUGGUGCUAUACAGACAGUGAAUCGCCUAAUGAGUUAGUUAGCAACCUAGCUAAGCAUUCAUCAAAGUAGUUCUCUGGGAGUCUGGGUUACACCUAAGCCUUAAUUAAAGAAGCAAGCAAUCAAAUUGUACAAUGGUGGAAUAUGCUAUUCUCCAAAAAACUUGAACUAAUACAUAAAAGAUUGGUUUGCUCAAAGAUAUCAUGCAGAUCCAUCCUCAAAAACCUUGAUUUUCUUGAAUCGUAUUGUCACAAUUCAACUUUCCCCAUUCCAUGAAGGCAUUAAAGUUACUCCACAAGACCAGAAGAAGCAUAAGGGAUCCAAUAUGAACAAUACAUCUAGAUUGCAAGAGUGAUGUCAGAGAUUUCCUGCCAGGUCUAUUGAUGAAAGGAAAGUCAUGUGGAAGAUUUCCAAAGGCAUGCUUGGCCACCCAUGCACAAAUUAGUAGGAAGCUGAUGCUACUCUCCUAAUGAUGACCAUGUAAAGGUGAAAACAAUUGUUUUGUUAAAUCAAGACACAUGCAUUACUCAGGACACAAGAUGCCCAAGUAAAAGAGAGACAUUGUACAGUGGGUCACAAUGAGGCAUUCUACAAUAGAAGCCACAAGAAUGAACCCUAGAAGGGAGGGCUGACCUAGUGAAUCAGCUUGCCAGGCGCCAACUAAAGGCAAUCCGCCAGUGCCAUGACAACUGCUAUCAGAGCAAGAUUUCCAAAUUUUAUGUGCAGAUGCCAUCUGUCACCAUGAUUUGAGCAUGACCUGUGGAAGAGACGGAACACCUAUUGGAAGGGUGUAAGCCAUUCAUGUAAAACCAAGGCAGACUCAGUGAUGAUGUGGUAUGCGAGGAAGCGACACCGAGUGACACAUUCUGUUGGGUGAGCUUUGGGCAUUCAAGUCAGUGAUGGUUAGGGAAGUGCAAGGAAGCCAAAGAAUAGGCCACAGUGAGGGUCUUAUGGAAAUCAAAUCAGGGAAAAUGUCAUAGUCCAAUUUUACCCUGUUUUAAAUGGAAGUGAGCUCCGUAAUACCAGAAGAAACAUGAGGGAUAUGUAAUGAACAAUACCGCUUGGUCAUGGUAUUGGUGCUAACAAGUUUGAGCUAGAAAUCAACUGAAGGAAGGAAUUUCGUAUGGAAGAUGUCCAACAGAAGGGUGGUCCUUUGUAUACAAACUGGUAGAAAGCUGGUUUCACUCUCUUGAUGAUGGCCAUAGAAAACCGAAACCACCAGUAAUUGUAUUGAAUCGAGAUGCACGCUCAACUUGGGACACAAUAUGCCCCAAUAAAAGGGAGAUGUUGUACAGUUAUUCACAACGAGCCAUUCCACAAUAGAAGCCAUGGGAAUGAUCCUUAGAAGGGAGAGUUGGCCUGGUAAAUCAGCUCGCCAGGUGCCGCACGACAGUCCGAUGACCGAGGCCAACUGGCCCGCAUUGUGACACAUAAACUAUUGUAGCCAAGAGCACAUAACCAAGCUCCAAAAAAAAUUUCUCUAUCACAUUAAUUUGAUAGCCACUUUCCUACAUGAAGUUGUCAACUAUAUCCAAUUAAUAAGAUGGUAUUCGAAGCCCUCCCAUGAAUGCCCAGAAAGCAUUUUCUUCUUUAUUUAAAGUCCACGUAAACAUUUUCACUGGACAGCUUCCAUAGAAGAAGAGGAAUGUAUCAUUUAAAUUAAAUAGAGUCCCCGCAAAGGUCCAAGACAGAUAAGAAAACACUUGACAAAAUAUCCUGCAUUCAAUUCCAGUGACAAAAUUAUGAGGUAUUUCCAAAAGGUAAGAGAUCAUUGUGCUUGUAUUGUUUCAGCUCUACAAGAGCGAGCCAGUAAAACAAAGUAUGAAGUUAUAAUGCACACCAACGAAAGAAGCCUGUACCAGAGUAAAAAACAUUAUCUUCCUGCCUGACAAAUGCCACUGAAUCUGUCAUUUUAUUGGUUGUAUUUGCUUCCAUCUCAAAAUUCUCUUUCAUUAUUGUAUGUAAAAAAGCUCUCACGCAUAUGCAUAAGAAUAUGAUAAGUUGAUUCCAAGAAAAGAAGUAUUCUACCAUUUAAGACAAGAUGAGGGUUCAAUCCACUAAUCACUGACUUUGAAAACAAGAUGUGAAAUACAUAAGUAAUUAAUGAAUUGUAUACUGAAAUUGGUGGAAUUACUUGAAUAACUAAUUCAAAUUAUUUCAAUUAUUGAUUUCAAUUUUACAAGUAGACCAAUUUACUUUUUUUUGAAAAAUUUAUUAUCGAUCAAUACUUUAAAAUGAUCAUGUAAGUAAAUUAUGUCAACCAUUUGGUAGACGUUCAUAAGGCCAAUCGAGUUUGAUUUCAAGGGCUUGCCAAAUCGGCCCACUAACCAACUCCACAUAUAAUUGUUGACCAGCAGGAAUAAAACAGAAACAUUGCUUAUUUAUGAAAACAAGAACUGGAUUUUACCUCCCUUGAAGAAGUUAUUGGGAUUUCGAACAAGAAUGCUGACUGCAUUGUAAUCGGCAGGUAUAUUUGUUUCUCUUCUUAGAGUUGUUUCCAGCAUCCCAGAUGCAUUAAUAUGAGAAUCUGAGAGGAAAGAAGCUAAUUUCCGUAGAGUUGCACCAUCUGAGUCUGCUACCGCAUGCAAUAGGUGACUUACGCCAGCAAUGGAUGCCUUAACCAUGGCAAUGUGCUUUGGAAACGCUAAACAUGACGUGCUGUGAUUGUCCUGUGAAGAAUGAAAUCAUGGAGUCAUGUCCUAAGAAAUCUAUAAAAGAUUAAAAAGCAAAACUUAAGGUUAAAAGGAAUUGAUAGUAUAGUAUUAUGUUUAUCCAUUAUCACAUCAUUAACUAAGUCGUCUACCUUAUGCUGAAGAUCAUGAACAAUCUGCCUGCAACAUUUCCUAACACUAUGACUAUAAUAUAGAAUAAAUUUUGGAAGUCCUAAAAACCACUUAUUACUCCUACUAUAACUUCCCUCCAAAAUUGCAAUGAAAAAGUAAAAAAUAUUUUAAAUUUAAUGAAAUUAAGAAGAAAUUGUAUAUGAUUCUACAUGUCAAUAUUGGAAUAUUUUGAAAGGUUUCAGGUGUUUCAAGUUAAAUAAAGACAGUGUGAGAGUUGCUAGAUUUACAGAAAGUCAAAACUUAAGUAGAAGUAACCCGAAAUGGCCCUUCCUGCAAGCACCUAAAAGCAUCUCUCUAUGAAUUACAAAUGAUCUUUAAAAAAAAAAAAACAAAAACAAAAAAAGAGAAUAAAAUCUUUGUCUGUAGUAAACCUAUUUGAAGAUCCCAUAGCAAAAAAAUAAAUAAAUAAAUAAACAUCUGUAAAUAAUCUUGUUAGAAACCAAUUUCCCUCAUAGGAAGUCUGGAGACAUCAAACAAAAAGAUAGCAGCAGUCCAAGAUGAAAGCUUUCUUGAGCGAUGCAUUCCUGAGAUGGACGAAGCUUAAAAACUGAGAAAGACCAAAAAUAAACAUUUAAAUCACCAAAAACCUCUCUUUGAUGACCUACCCAAAUACUACCCUCCAGUUACACUUCAUCAAUGUCACAAUUCCAGCAAAACUAUAAAUAUGUGAGAAUAUGUCACAAGCUUAAAGCAUAAGACCAAUGAGGCAUAAAUGUACUCUUUAAGUGGAGCAACUUUUUGGCAAGACUCUCUAGCAUCUUUGACAAACUUCACAAGCCCUCUUUUAGUCCCAGAGAGAUAUUGUGAUCAAGGAAUCUUGAGGAAUUUUUCUUCAGUGAUCCAUUUUAUGCUGAAAAGAAAGAUCAAGCUUCCAAAAAAGGUAUAUCUUUUUUCAUCUCAUGACAAUUGACUGGAGCUAGUCUCUGGCUACACGUACCCGGGAUUGCUAUAUUCCCUUCCAAUCUGUGAUCCAGAUUCAUCAAUCUGGUUUUGGUAAAUUUGUGUCCCAGACCAUUUCCCUAGCCCAUCAACCCCUUCACAUUCUCACGCAAUUCAAAGAUACCAGCUAACUCUUAUUUGCUAGCUCUUCAAAGGACCAGAAUAUUAUACAUUUUGUAUCUAAUUUAGGCUUAUGGAUUCGGGGAAAAAAAUCUCAGACAGAACAAGUCUAUUUAAUCAUUUAAUCAAUUGGAGCUUGUAUUGUAGUUAAUCUGUAAUUUCAAAAUAAUUCAUUGCGAAAGAACAACUAGAUUACCAAAAUAAAAGUGAAUGACCUCAAAAAGAGAAUGUUUCCAAGCCUAUCACAAUUCAACCAACUAAUCCAACCCCUUCUGUUACUUUUUUCUCCACGUCUUUUCUUGUACCUGCACUAUCCCUAUUAUAGUUGCUAUUUCAUAGAUGGUGAGACAAACGACAGUCAGACUCAAUCAGAUAUGAUUCCUCCGCUCCAACUGAGCUAUGGCAAUAACUCCUACUACAAUUUUUGAUGACGUAUCCCUUCCCAAGUGACAGAACUACGCAACAAAAUAGAACACUUACAGACAAAAAAUCAGUCAGAUCCAAAGUGUCUUGUGGCAUACAAGAAUGGAUUCCAGGCACUGACGCGAUUAGAUAUCCCAUAGCCUUGUUAAAGUCAUAUUUUGCCAACUCAACAACCCAAUGAGCCUGAGAAGGUGCAUCAAUCACAAGAGAUGCCAUAAACCCUGCUAGUUGAACAGCAAAAUCAGAUUUUACACCUUGUGUUAUUUCAUCAUCAGAAAUUUGGGUGAACAAAGAUGAGAAAUCAGGAGCACUUCUACGAGGAAAAUCUUGCCACCACACAGUAUUGGUAAUGCCAGUCCACUGCAGAAGUCAAAAUCAUAUGAAUAAUGCAACAUCAAAAGUUUGUUCUACAACAGCACAAACUAAUAACAAGAGUGGCCAAAAAGAGGUAAUCAAUAAUGAACAACGCAAGAAGAACGUGAAAGAUAAGAUAUGCCUAACAGCUUCCCAAAAACCAUUAUUAUUAAAUAACUUUUGGCAUCUCUCGUUCCACAUUAUUAUAGCCAAAUUGAUCCAGCCUAUGUAAGGUCAUCUCUGAAGUCCAAUAAUCAACACUUGCCUAUCCCAAAAAGUCUCACAGGCACUUUCAGAGGAGAAUCAGCUCCCACUUAUUUCUCAUAUCAUCUUUUACCAUGCUACUUACAAAAGUGCCAUGCCAAGUAUUCUACAGGCUUUAUUACCAGAAGUUGACAAAAGAAGAAAGUCUAUUAAAUGCCAUAAAAGCGUUGCAGAUCAACGAAAAACUUAAGCAGACUUCUUUUAUGAGCUUUUGUCCUGAUAACCAGGCAGCGUAAGAGGAGAAAAAGCUGCGAGAUUUAUAAAGCAAUUAUGUAAGAAGAAAUGUUCCCACUCGCCGUAAAAAGUAGUGCAAGGAUUGUGGACACAGGCCAGUCUUGUCAAUACUCAAAGAUUAGAAGGAUAAAAGAAUAUUUUCUGUUUGCAGAUCUAACCUAUGCUCGAAUAAAUUAUAGUUUACUUGACAUCCACUUAAAUCAAUGGUACCAGCCACUUCUCCGGCAAAUAUUUAACUUGAUUUAGUCUUCUGGAUCAUAAACAGUAACUUAAAAUGCAUUUUGAAUUUGCACAGAUUUUUCAUUACAAAUAUUUACAACAUAAGGGUUGAUGGAUCAACUGGACCAACCACUUCAAUAGUGCAUGGAAAUAUUUUUAUCAAUAAAGGGGAGAACGUUCACUGGGUAAAUUUGUAAAUGGCCAAAUAUUAGUUACUGUAUGGAUUAUCUAGCCAAAACUUCUAUACUCAGGGUUACAUAGAGAUGAAGCUCCACAAAUGGGGUGACGGUCUGUUGACAAUAAAGAACCAAUGCACAUCUCAUGCUUUAAACACAGAUACCACAAACAGUGCAAUCUCAGGGGAAAAGGGGGAAUGUUAUAGGAAGAACUCUAAUUCAAAUGUGCAGUUCCAUGACUAAACCUCCAACUUCAUGACUAAGUAAUAAUGCCAUCAAAUAGAUUAUCUUAGAAUAGUUCUCCCAUCAGGGCAUAAAUACAUUCAGAAGGAAAGCACUCUAUUGCUUGCCAGAAAAAAGCCAUAAGCACAACUUGAUCUUACUGCAUUGUUCCCACCACGAAAUAACUUGCAUAUGAGUUAGCUGUACCCUAGAAACCACUGGAUGUAAGGAAAUGAUAGCCUCAUAAAAAUUUUCCAAACAAAAGAAAGUGAGAACAACUACCACAUAACUCUAAAAGUGGUAAAACAAUUCAUUUGAGAAUUUUAAAGGAAAAAAGAGCCUAUGACAAAUGUUAAGUCACAAUAUGUUAAACCCAGGAAUCACCUGUUUGGCAACCAAAUUGGCAGAAGUAAUGAUGAUACGAAUCCGAUCCUCUCUUUGAAAAACAAGAAGUUUUGGAUGAUGACAUGCGAUUCCCUGCUUCUUUCGAUCUCCACCAAAAGCGAUGAUCUCAGGGAAAGGGGGAUAUCUGAAAAAGUAAUUGUCCAAGAAUGCUAAAUUGUGUAAAACUGUUUAGGCACAUCACUCAAGUUAACUGAGAAAUGAUAAACAACUUACACCACAACAAGCUUUGGGAAUUCUGGAUAAGGUACAAGGGUUCUUUGCUCAGGGCUUGAGCUCCAACAUCUAUCAGUGUUGUGACAAGCAAUGGUCACUGGCAAGUGGUCAGGAAUUCGACAGUAGGAUAGAAACCUGCCAUUAUGUCUCAGCAGAGAUACAAGCAUCCGUUCAGGAACAAGAACCAAAAACAAGUAAAUGUAGACUGAUUUUCUAAAUGCAAACAUGAAAGCAAGAAGGAAAUAUGUAUGAACUAUCCACGUAGUUAUUAAAUUAACGAGAAAAGCCAGAGCUAUAAUAUUGUCCCUGCAGAAUAAUAUAAGAAAAGGAAUGGCUGAAGGCAUUCACUGCAAAAUCCAUAGCAAAUGUGGACGACAAGAGAUGAUUAACAUAUCGGCCAAGAGAGCAUGGAACCAAAAGGUACAGAUCAGUGCAAAGAAAAAGAAGUACGAACCACGCAAUGUCACAAGUGAAUGUUGCAAUGAAUAUCUGCGCAAUGCUUUCGACAGGAUAGAUAAGUUCUGCCAAGGAAAUUUCAGAACUACAACCAAAAGAAUCUUGUCCAAUAGAUUCAAGACGAUUGAGGCAGAAAUUCAUCCCUGGAGGUGGACAGAAGCUGCGCCUAUUUUCAUCAUUUGCGGUGGAAUUGAAACAAGGGCCAGUUUCUGGAGGCACCCGGUUUAGAUUAGAGGUGAUUCGAUCGGCAUUCUCAAGAUAUUUGUUGCCUCUUUGAGAUAAGUUUCCAGCAUGGGCAGAAACACAUGCUCCUUUCCCAUCAAUCUCUGAGCUCACAACCUUUUCAGCUGGAUGCACAUGAGUGAGUGGAUGAGGAAGUCUGCACCUCAUGCUUGGCAAAUUACAGAUGGUGUCGGAAUUGUUAAUGGGCAAAACAUUUGGCAACUCUGGUUCGCCACCAGGAUCGGUGGCAGGCUCCUUGGAAAAAAGAUCGAGCCUGGAUCCAGAUGAAUUAUUACAAUUCAAUGAAGCGGGCACGGCUGUUGCCAGAAAAAUAGGGCAUCUCCGGAUGCAAGAAACAGGGUCGGCAGAGUCCAAAAUGUGCCUGCACCGAGCCAAAAGCGAUUUUGCUCGGCGAUAAACAGCCGAGGAAGAAGAUGGACAUGGAGACGAAGCAGUAGACCGGGAGGCCGAUACCCUUUUGCUGCUGCUCGACGUCAUCGUGGUCGUGGUGGUCGUCCAAGGCAAAGAAAACCUCUCCUUGACUGCACGAGGAUCAUCCGAACCAGGAGAAACCACUUCCUCCUCAUCCAGGACAACAAUUCUCCUAAUAGCAAAUCCAAUUCGAAUGCCGGACCUACAUUUACCAUCGCCGCCGCACACGAGCAGGACUUCAUCCCCUGCAAACAACGCGACGGCGCUGCCCUGCCGACACUCGACUCCAUUGGUAAACACUCGACUCAAAGCAGCGCGAGGAGCAGCCUCGCGCUCCUCCCCGACUCUCUCCCUAGAAACAAACGAGUCGUUCGGCCGAGACCCGGCAUGGAAAACGAAGACCUUGCGCUGGCCACCGUCGAACAGGAUGCGGCAAUGGAGGUUGCUGACUCGGGGGUCGGGCAGGAGGAAGUCGCACCGGCCGGCGCCGCGGCCGAUCGCGUAGAGGCGGCCGGCCUCGAGCCGGAUGGACUCGCAUGGGCGCCCGGUGGCCUUGGAAACCAAGGGGAUCCCGACAUGCCGCACCUCAAGCAGCGCCGCCGCAGCCGCCGCCGCCUUUGCUACGCACUGCUGCUUCUUUCUCUUCUUGUCGUGGCCUUGCGCGACGGGGUGGUGGGCGGGUCGCCUUCGUUUGAGAGUAGUGUCGGAGGCGACGGUUGACAUGGGUAAGGGAAUGGAGGGAAGCGCACGUCAUGUCAUGUCAUGGCACCGAUCGAAUCAGAGACGAAGAAUUCGACGGAAGAAAAGGGAGACGAAGAAUUCGAAGGAAAACGAAGGACGAAAGAAGGAUUCGGGGGUUGCAAGAAUGGCGGGCGACGAGGGGGGAUAAAAGUGGGGGAGAGAGGGAAGGUUUCGAAGGCGGCCAAUGCAAUCCCCACCGUCCGUCCGUUUGCGCCCCUCCCCCGAUUGCUUUCCCUCCAAAAAAAAAAAAAAAAAUGAACCCCACUCUCUCUCUACUUUAAAAAAAAGAAAAGUUGUAAAUCUGGUUAAUAGCCCGGUACAUGUGGGCCGGGUCGGAUAUCGGGCUUACGAAUCAUUGCUCGGAGCUGUUUGAUGAAUUCAAAACUUUUGAAUGAAUAAAACCAUAGCCCAAUUUUACUCUCUCUAUUAGUUGAACCGGUGAUAAUUGAACCGGUGAAGAGGAGCAAAUCCUUCAUAUUUGAGGUCUUUCGGUUGGAAAAUGAGGAGUGUAGUAGGAUCAUUAAGGGCACUUGGAAUGAACUGGCCUAGUUGCUGAGGAUUCGGUACUGAAAUUAAAAGCUGUGUCAUUAGCUUUAGCCAAAUGGAGCAAGAUAACUUUUCUAAACGACCAGAAGGGGAUUAAUGACCUGAGAGAUGAGUUGCAAGGAGAAAGUAAUUUCUAGAGCUUACCUGCACACAAGAAUAAACAGCAGGAACUUACGGAACAAAUAGAGAAUCUGUUCAGAACAGAUGUACGGAGGCUUGAGAUCGAGAAUAGAGUGGCUGAAGUAGGGUGAUAAAAACACAAAAUAUUUCCAUGCCACAGCCAUUCAAAGAAGAUAGCAAAAUAGAAUUUCCAUGUUAAAAAAUUUGAGUGAUACUUGGAACCGAGACCCGGCAAGACUGAAGGUUGUGACAAUGAUUCGUAAGCUCUUCUAGUAAGCCAAUAUGUCUUUAAUGAACACCAUAAUAAAUCUAUUUAUACACUCUUUGAAUACUCUGUUAAUCAAAUACAUGAAAGCAGAAGGCACAUCUAUUAAUCCAAGAGGCAUGAUGAGAAAUUUCUAAUGGUCAUAUCUUGCUUUGAAAAUAAUUCUAGGCUUAUCAUCUCUUUUUCUUUUUCAAGUUCAGAAAGUGUUAUUCAAUGCGGUACCUUAAAAAAAUGAUGCAUCAAGUAUCUAAUUGAAAGAAUGCGUAAGGAAGCAAGGAGCGUAGGGGAAGAGUGGAAAUUUGGAGAGAAGUCUUUUCUAUUACUUCAAUUGUAAACAAUGUACAACGCUUUGUAAUUAUAAUACAAGAUGUACAUGAAAAAAAGGAAAUAAAAAGUUCUACAAAUAUUCUACAAAUCAAUUCAAUAUUUCUGUCCAAUCUCUAAUUGAUCAAAUCAGAUCAAUUAGAUCAAAUCCGGCGGAUCUUCAGGCAUAUCUUCCAACACUGAUCAAUACCAAAACCAAUUUCUCUAUAAGAAGACAAGCCCAAUAUAAUCUCAAGAAACACAUCUGAUAACAACAAUACUUUCCAACUUCACAACAUUAUAUUUUAUAUCUUUUAAGUCUGCUGAAAAUCAUAACAAUAUCACGAUGUGAGGAUAACCAAACAACCCAUAAAAUAACAUCAAGAAUAUAUAUAUUUAACUCCACUAGAUUUCCAUGCGACUCUUUAUCAUUCAUCUGAAAAACACACACUUCUUGAACACGCGAUUCGCAACUAAGAAAUCAUUACUUUAUAAUCCUCAGUUAAAUCAAUUUGGGGCUCAUCUCUUGCUUCAUGCGAGUCACCACGAUGACUCUUUUAUCUCUUUCUCGAAAUCUCCCCUCGAGAACCUAAAGAUACAUUCUUCAUAUCAAAAGUUAAAACUCGUCUGCCCUUGAUACACUUUACAAAGCCAAGUAAGCUUCUCCAACUCAAGAUCAAUAACCAUAGGGACUGAAAAUAAAUCAUCCAUUCCAGUACUUAACAAAAGAUUGACGCAUUCUAACAUACAACCUCACAGCAUCUUUAUAAAAUCUACCCAACAAAAGAUCAUAAUCUAAGUUCCGAUACUACAAAAUGUCACGCCCAAAACCAUCACGAAUAGGAGAUGAGACGGCCGUCCUUCCACCCAAAGGGCGCGGCCUCAAAGCUCCCAAAAACAAUUCCUAAAGUCCCCUCGUUGAUAUCGCUGUCAUAGUACUUAUUAUUAGAUGAGAAACCUGGAAAAGAAAAAAAAAAAAAAGGGUGAGCAACCAUGGUUCAGUGAGUAAUACAUCUCUUCUAAGCGGAUCGAGCACCCAUUAUGCAUACCUGCAACCAAAAACCACAACUCUUUUAAUCCAAAAUUCAAAAUAUAACAAACAUAUAAUAAGAAAAUAAGUUACGUAUGCUUCAACAUAGUUGUAUUUAUAGUAGAAAUAUUCAUUUUAUAAUAAUAUCAAAAUAAAUAUCAAUAAUCAAAUCCAUUCAUCAAUUUCACCAAUUCACACAUCAAUGGUCUAUUCCAUUGAUUAAUCUCAUGCCAUACAUCAAUAGUCUAUUACAUUGAUCUAUCUCAUAUGAAACCACAUGUCAAUAAUUCAUUCCAACGAUUAAUCUCAAAUCACAUGUCGAUAGUCCAUUUAAUCGACUAAACUCAAAUCACAUAUCAAUAGUCCAUUUCCUUGAUCAAUUCGUUACUCAAUAUCAAACCAUAAUCAUGAUACAACGACUAGUGACAAUGCGACCAAAAUUUCCCCUUGGUAAGAUCUCCACCUAUUAUUAGCCGGUGGCUCGGCCUACAGGAACACCCUAAGUUAGUAUGCAUACCCACAAGCCCCUCACUAGGCUCAUAGCAAUAUUAAACAUAACACCCUCCACAAUCCACAAAGCAAAUCCAGAAUUCAUUUCAUAUAUCACAAAAAGCUUUUGCAAUUCAAUUCAUCUACCAGAAAUAGACUCGUCUCAUUAACUAAUUUUACAAACCAAAUUGAAUCAAAUGUAUGUCAUAAAGCAUUUCACAAAUCGAUAUAUCUAUAACAUUCCAUAAACCAUCUCAAAAUCAAGAGCUUUUUGUAAAAAUGUUUCGCGAUGUCAAAAUAUAUUUUUCAACUUCAUUUCUCAAACAGAAUAUAUUUUUCCACCAACCAGUUCUUACACAAUUCACAAAUAUUAAAAUAUAGUAAGUGCCCGAUUUAUAUUUUAUGCAACAAACAUGCUACCAAACAAGCACUUGAGGAAUUCAAGUAAGGACACCUCCAUCAUAAGAGCAAGAAAUGGCAAAUAUGGACAAUCCCGCACAAUCCUCUUAGGAAUCAUAUACUUAGACAUCCUAUGCCUGAUAGGAAGGUCCUCUAUCUCUUGGAAUGGACUUCAGCACAGUCUCUUAUUAUCCCCAAACAGCAAACUGGCCCUAGCCAGUCGUGCUCACCAACACUACAGGAUCCUCCAAAAUUCAUGAAGAAGAACAUGCCUCAAGCAAUCAAAGUAUGUGGGAUGCCCUAAUCUCUCAAAGGGAAUCCUCUCAUAAUACCAACGGUCCUCCUGAUGACAUUGGAAUGGAACAACGCUACGAGAAAAAAAGGCUUGCAUGACAUAGCUUCGAUGAUUCAAAUUAUCACUAUAACUCUCGAGAUGGCAGAUAAGACUUGUAGUGAAAGUUACUGUAGCACAGGUCAUUAUAACAAAAUAAUGUAGCAAUAUGUUAGGGAAAUCACUAUUCAUAGUCAUCGUUCAUAUUACUUAUAAUAAUUCCCGACUAGGAAUCCCGAAGCCUCUGUGUGUUUUAAGACCCAUGAGUUUGGUCUUUGUUUUUUGUGACCUCUUAAUACCUAUAAAAGAUAAAGAGGAUGUAAUGUUUUGGGCAAAGUCCUUGAAGUAAAGUGUGUGCUUAUGCAAAUUCUCUCAGUGUCUCUCUAAACACUUCUUCUUCUCCAGCUUAGUACGAUCCUCUGAGAAAUGCAGCUCGGCUAAGUUAGAGAUGUUACUUUCCUAGCAUCUUUGAGCAUCUCUUAUCCAAAUUUCCAAAUAGUUCAUAGCUAAAAGGCAGUCCCUAAAAGGCUUGAACAGAAGUUCACCUAUUAUGGGAUAACAUACCUGUUACAACUAACUUGGUCUUCCCUAAUUCUAAGCAUAGAUCCCUUUUAUCAUUUUGAAAACAUGGGUUUAAAAAUUCUUAGAAGAGAUAGCACCACUCACCUUGGAACGCCUACGAUCAAAUAACAAAUGUUACUCAAAUCGUUGAAUUCGCAAUCCUAUCAGAUAAGCGACAAACAAUAUUAAAAUUGAGUAACGCAUUACCUCAACUACAAAAUAGCUAUACUACUAAUCACAUACCCAAAGCGAUUAUUCGAGCCAUUUGCAAACUUUAUCACACCAUAACUUUCUCCACCAAACUCCGUUCCAAACAUAUUUAUAGUCAAUAAAAAGCGCUUUCGACAUACUACAAGAAUCCCAACUUGGUUACCACAAAACUCUCCAGAAAUGGCUGAAAUUUAGCCUUGAAUAUUUGUUUGGAACUUGACAGCACGUGCGACAAAUUUCGAAAUUUCAUUUUAGGUAAAUCGUAAGUUCAAAUCGAGAUCCCCGUAAAAUUUUACAAUUUCACAACACUCUAAACUAUCGUUUCUAUAUAAAUACGUAGUUCAACGACUUAAAAAUCAGACUUCAUCACACAAAUCUUCAAUAAUUUCAAAUUUCAAGUCCUGAAUCCAAAACUACUCCGAUUGAACGAAUGAGGGCACAAGCACUUACCAAGCAUCGGGAUACAAUGUUGAGUCAGCUUGGCAAAUUGUCCGGAUCAUUAGGGCGCGAAUUUGCCCCUUCUCCCGCUUUCUUCUUUCUCCUUUCCUUUGACUCCUUUUUCUUUAUCUCCCUCUCUUCUUUUUCCUUUUUUUCUCUGCCGGACCGUCCUUUUUUUUUUCUUUUUUUCUUUUUGGUAAGGAAAAGGAGAUGAAACCUUUCUUUUUCUUUUGUCUCCCCCUUUUUCUUCAAAAGUUCUCCCAAGAGUGGGAGGGAGAUAGCGUAGAGGCGAAGCAGUCUGAGUGAUUGCAUCUCCCACCCAAACGUUCACAUCUCAAUCAAUCUAAUCGAAAGCCAGGGUGAAGGAAGAAGAAGAAGAAGCAGAGGAAGAAGAAGCGGAAGAGGCAGAUAUGGGAUUGCUGUCCAACAAGAUCAAGAGGGACCGACUCAAGCGUGGGGAUCACAUCUACACUUGGCGUCACUUGUACCUCUACGCUCACCACGGCACGUUCCCUUUUUCUCGCUUAUUCCAAUGCAAUCUUUUUCGCGACGAUGAUGAUGGUGGUGGUGGUUUCGCCUCAACUCCUCUGCUUUUUUUUUUUUUCGCUAUAAAAUUGCUCCAUUCUUCACAUGAUUGAUAAUGUCCUUUCCUAGUUUCAUAUAUAGGAGCUUUGCCCUCGUGGGUCUGUGAGAGAGGUCGUUUUCCUUCUCUCGGGGGAUUUUCUAUCCUGUUUUUUCCACUUCUGCUAAUAUAGAUUGUGGCAACGUUGCUGAUUUUUGUAUAAAAGGAGAUGUUUUAUGAUGAGUAGUCGUACUCAACGUGGCAGAGAGAUCGAAUCCCCUUGACCCUUUUGGAAGUCUGCCACCCCUUUGUCCGCCUUUGCUUAGCUUGUGCUCCCUUUGCUAUUUCUGAAUUGUUGGUUACUCCUGUCAACUGAAGGAGGUCGAAUUCUUUCCAUCCUUUGAUCGUCCGGAUUAUGUUCUUUUCAAGCACGUACCUUCUAUGGACUUAGCUGCUUUCGCAUACUGAAAAGAUUGUCGCUUUUGAGUUCGCAAACAGGAAUAUACGUCGGUAAAGGGAAGGUUAUUCACUUCACUCGAGGGGCAGGACACGAAAUCGGCAGGGGUACUGUGUUAGACCCCAUCAUUUCGAGCUCAUGUCCCCCUCCUCCUGUCGGUACACAAUGCCAGAUAUGUGGAGAUCAGUCGAGACUUGAUGGUGUCAUCUCUUCCUGCAUCGACUGCUUCCUUUCAGGUGGAAACCUCUACCUCUUUGAGUACGGCGUGUCCCGUGCUUUCCAUCUUGCUAGCCCUCGAGGGACUUGCACCCUUGCGGAAUCCGACCCCCCUGAAGAUGUGCUUCACCGUGCCUUUUACCUCCUCCAGAAUGGCUUUGGAGGCUACAAUCUUUUCAAGAACAACUGUGAGGACUUUGCUAUCUACUGUAAAACGGGUCUGCUUGUGGUGACAGUAUGUAUCGGAGGCCGAAGUGGGCAAGCAGCAGCUUUUCAGGCUGCUAAAAGUGC
rnacentral:lncRNA from 1 species